UGAUUUUUUGGUUUAUCUUUCCUGAAAAAUCGAAACAAUUGCAGAAAUGAAGUAGACUGGGAUCACCCUUUCACAAUAAGUGUCUGGGCAAAAGACGUCCGUCCAGUGAAAAGCUAAGUGAGUGUGUUCGACAUUACUAUACUGCAUGACUGUUAUGAUGCUGCAACCGGACCUCUAACUUUCCCAGCCAAAAUACUGAAAUCAAACCGCUUCUGUUCAACUCUGCAAACUACCCAGGGCUACUCCUGGUACUGCCUCUCUGUGGCAGUGAAGAAAUCCUCCAGAACACUCCUCAGGUACUCGAAGGUGGGCCUGUCAUCUGGGUUUUCCGUCCAGCACAUACCCAUGACGUUAUAAAGCCCGUCCGGACAGUUUUCUGGCCUUGGCAUUCUGUAGCCCCGCUCUAGGUUCUGGAUCACCUCUGGGUUGGACAUUCCUGCACAAUAGACUUCUCCAAACUGUCCCGCUCCCAGUCUGGACUCCAGCUUCAGGGACUCACGAGGAAUCUCCCAUUCAUCCUGCCACCAGGGCUUCUGCGGUGCCCUCGACUGACACGGCUUCACCAGCUUCGUGCACAACCCAUCUGCAUCGCCUGGAUGACAGAGAGAGGAGACAGGGCUCCAUUCAUAUGUGUGGAUAUUACACCGGGUCAUGAAUGUCUUGUGGAGGGAAAGAGGAGACUAUUGUGCACGGGCGGCUUUAAGAAACAAGGAUGGAUGACAUGGGAUGGAUCUGAUCAUGUGGCAUGUGGUGGCAUUUAAG